UGCCCCAUGGCUCAGUUGGUUAGAGCGUGUGACUGUUAUUCCGACAUCACAAGGUCGAGAGUUCAAGCCUCUCUGGGGCAG